rnacentral:tRNA from 1 species
GAGAUAUAUAAUUUAGGGGUAAGCUUCUAACUUAACUCCUUAGCAGUGAAAUUCUGUUAAUAUCUCU